GACGAACGCUGGCGGCGUGCUUAACACAUGCAAGUCGAGCGGUAAGGCCCUUUCGGGGAUACACGAGCGGCGAACGGGUGAGUAACACGUGGGUGACCUGCCCUCAGCUCUGGGAUAAGCCUGGGAAACUGGGUCUAAUACUGGAUAUGACUCCACGGUGCAUGUCGUGGGGUGGAAAGCCUUGUGCGGCUGAGGAUGGGGCCCGCGGCCUAUCAGCUUGGGUGGGUGAUGGCUACCAAGGCGACGACGGGUAGCCGGCCUGAGAGGGCGACCGGCCACACUGGGACUGAGACACGGCCCAGACUCCUACGGGAGGCAGCAGUGGGGAAUCUUGCGCAAUGGGCGAAAGCCUGACGCAGCGACGCCGCGUGAGGGAUGACGG
rnacentral:rRNA from 1 species